rnacentral:rRNA from 20 species
UUGACCUCGGAUCAGGUAGGAAUACCCG